rnacentral:rRNA from 1 species
CCUACGGGAGACAGCAGUGAGGAAUAUUGGUCAAUGGACGCAAGUCUGAACCAGCCAUGCCGCGUGCAGGAAGACGGCUCUAUGAGUUGUAAACUGCUUUUGUACGAGGGUAAACGCAGAUACGCGUAUCUGUCUGCAAGUAUCGUACGAAUAAGGAUCGGCUACCCCGUGCCAGCCGCCGGGGUAAUUCGGAGGAUUCAAGCGUUAUCCGGAUUUAAUGGGUUUAAAGGGGUCGUAGGAGGUUGGAUAAGUUAGGGGGGAAAUCUCGAGGCUCAACUUCGGAAUUGCCUUUGAUACUGUUAGGCUUGAGAGGAGUUGCGGUAGGCGGAAUGUAUGGUGUAGCGGUGAAAUGCUUAGAGAUCACACAGAACACCGAUUGCGAAGGCAGCUUACCAAGCUACGUCUGACGUUGAGGCACGAAAGCGUGGGGAGCAAACAGGAUUAGAUACCCGAGUAGUC